rnacentral:lncRNA from 1 species
AUGUAUCUGAAGGCAUUCAGUACUAUCUACUACAGGUGUGAGGCCCCAGAAAUUGGGGAUAUGGCUACCAUUUGGCACAGCAGUCUGAACAGGACCUGGAAAACCAAGAGGCUGCUUUUGUGGGAGAGCAGAACAAUGGUGACAGUGGAGGAGGAAGAUGAAUCAUUUGGAUUCUACUGCUGUGGACUGACUUAUCUCUGACUUAUCUCUGAAACAACUGAAACAUCAUAAGAAAGAGCAGCUGGCUUGAAAUGAGCAAUGGG